rnacentral:rRNA from 1 species
CAGCAGCCGCGGUAAUACAGAGGAUGCAAGCGUUAUCCGGAAUGAUUGGGCGUAAAGAGCUCGUAGGCGGUUUGUCGCGUCUGCCGUGAAAGUCCGGGGCUCAACCCCGGAUCUGCGGUGGGUACGGGCAGACUAGAGUGAUGUAGGGGAGACUGGAAUUCCUGGUGUAGCGGUGAAAUGCGCAGAUAUCAGGAGGAACACCGAUGGCGAAGGCAGGUCUCUGGGCAUUAACUGACGCUGAGGAGCGAAAGCAUGGGGAGCGAACAGGAUUAGAUACCCCCGUAGUCCCUGUCUCUUAUAA